AUCAAAUAUUCUUCAGGACUGUCCAGAAGAGGGCAGCAGGCACUCAUAUAAAGCUGGAACUCUAAAGCAGGUGAUUUCACAGAGAAGCAGGUCAUUGAAUGGUGCAGCUGAUAUAAAACCAAGUGAUUAUAAACCAUAAUUUGGCUGAUGCCGCUGCUGCAGGACAGUAGAAGGAAACCGAGAACAUUUGUACAACAUUAGGAGACUUUACUGCUGUACAAAACAAUGCCCAAAGCCAAGAGGCCGAGACUGGUGAAGAGCCAGAAGCAGGAGACGUUCGCUUCGAGUCCGAGCCCCAAACCUACAGGUGCAGAUGAGCAACUUACUUUAUAUCAGAGACGUGCUCGUCGGUAUUUCACGUGUGUUCUUUACGACAACAGGCGUUU